UGCAAGUCGAACGGGAUCCAUCAGGCUUUGCUUGGUGGUGAGAGUGGCGAACGGGUGAGUAAUGCGUGACCGACCUGCCCCAUACACCGGAAUAGCUCCUGGAAACGGGUGGUAAUGCCGGAUGCUCCGACUCCUCGCAUGGGGUGUCGGGAAAGAUUUCAUCGGUAUGGGAUGGGGUCGCGUCCUAUCAGGUAGUCGGCGGGGUAACGGCCCACCGAGCCUACGACGGGUAGCCGGCCUGAGAGGGCGACCGGCCACAUUGGGACUGAGAUACGGCCCAGACUCCUACGGGAGGCAGCAGUGGGGAAUAUUGCACAAUGGGCGCAAGCCUGAUGCAGCGACGCCGCGUGCGGGAUGACGGCCUUCGGGUUGUAAACCGCUUUUGAUCGGGAGCAAGCCUUCGGGUGAGUGUACCUUUCGAAUAAGCACCGGCUAACUACGUGCCAGCAGCCGCGGUAAUACGUAGGGUGCAAGCGUUAUCCGGAAUUAUUGGGCGUAAAGGGCUCGUAGGCGGUUCGUCGCGUCCGGUGUGAAAGUCCAUCGCUUAACGGUGGAUCUGCGCCGGGUACGGGCGGGCUGGAGUGCGGUAGGGGAGACUGGAAUUCCCGGUGUAACGGUGGAAUGUGUAGAUAUCGGGAAGAACACCAAUGGCGAAGGCAGGUCUCUGGGCCGUUACUGACGCUGAGGAGCGAAAGCGUGGGGAGCGAACAGGAUUAGAUACCCUGGUAGUCCACGCCGUAAACGGUGGAUGCUGGAUGUGGGGCCCGUUCCACGGGUUCCGUGUCGGAGCUAACGCGUUAAGCAUCCCGCCUGGGGAGUACGGCCGCAAGGCUAAAACUCAAAGAAAUUGACGGGGGCCCGCACAAGCGGCGGAGCAUGCGGAUUAAUUCGAUGCAACGCGAAGAACCUUACCUGGGCUUGACAUGUUCCCGACAGCCGUAGAGAUAUGGCCUCCCUUCGGGGCGGGUUCACAGGUGGUGCAUGGUCGUCGUCAGCUCGUGUCGUGAGAUGUUGGGUUAAGUCCCGCAACGAGCGCAACCCUCGCCCUGUGUUGCCAGCACGUCAUGGUGGGAACUCACGGGGGACCGCCGGGGUCAACUCGGAGGAAGGUGGGGAUGACGUCAGAUCAUCAUGCCCCUUACGUCCAGGGCUUCACGCAUGCUACAAUGGCCGGUACAACGGGAUGCGACACGGCGACGUGGAGCGGAUCCCUGAAAACCGGUCUCAGUUCGGAUUGGAGUCUGCAACCCGACUCCAUGAAGGCGGAGUCGCUAGUAAUCGCGGAUCAGCAACGCCGCGGUGAAUGCGUUCCCGGGCCUUGUACACACCGCCCGUCAAGUCAUGAAAGUGGGUAGCACCCGAAGCCGGUGGCCUAACCCUUUG
rnacentral:rRNA from 1 species